rnacentral:rRNA from 1 species
UAAAGCAGCAAUAUUACCCUUCAACUCACCACUAGCAACCCUCUGAAGCUCAGCAGGUGUGAGCCUGGUUAGCACCUGGAUGGGAGACCUCCUGGGAAAAACUAAGGGUGCUGCUGGAG